UAGUUAUGUUCUUUAAACCUAAAGAAUUUGGCGGUGUUUUAUUCUAUUCAGAGGAACUUGUCCCGUUAUCGAUAACCCUCGUUAAGUCGUACUUAAUCUUGUUUUCAGUAUGUAUACCGCCGUUAUAAGUAUAUUUUAUUAGGAUUUAAAAUUUACUGAUAUCAUUAUUAUGAUAUAUUUCAGGUCAAGGUGCAGUUUAUGAUUAAGUGGAGAUGAGUUACAAUAUUUUAUGGUAAAUGGAUUAUAAAUUUAAAUAUUUAUAUGAAGGUGGAUUUGUUAGUAAUUAUUUUAAUUUUUUUUGAAAUUAGCUCUAAAAUAAGUACACAUCGCCCGUCGCUCUA
rnacentral:rRNA from 1 species